CAUUGAGCAAGUGCCCUUUGCCUGACCUCCCCCUCCCUGGUCUCUGUUUCCUGUGCUGGCUCCCAGAAAGAGCAGGUGAGGGGAGCUGCUUGCCAAGCCACUCUGGCACCUGCCCUGUGUCUCCCCACGCCAGGAGACCCAGACUCCUGCUCCAUGUGCCCCGAGGCCUCCCGAGAGGGGGGCUCCCUGGGGAAGGGCCUUCCUGCCUCUCAUCCUUGGAUGUGGGGAAUAGGCCCAGGGUCCCUCUGUUCAGGGCCUAGGGAGCUCCAUGCAUGGACAGAGCAGCCCGAAUCUUGGCAGGUCUGCAGCCUGGGCACUAACCUGGGGAUUCCCACUGACUGAAGGCAGGAGGCAUCCCUGCUGGAAGUGAUGGGAAAGAGACAAUCGGAGAUUUGCUGGCCUGCCCCAACAGGAAGAUGAAAACAGGCUUCUAAGGUUGUCCUCCUUCGCUUUCUACAUCAAGUUGAUUUUCUCAGUGCCAUCUGCACACUAAGCUGAUGUACCAAAAGAUCAGAUCAGCACUGUCUAAUCCUUGUAAGUGAUUCAACAAACAUCUUUCUGCAAAGGAGUAUGAGAUAACUGGGCCAUAAAUGAAGACACAAGUAAGUGGAUGGACUACUUGCAAGAAUAGUUAC